ACUCAAAGGAAUUGACGGGGGCCCGCACAAGCGGUGGAGCAUGUGGUUUAAUUCGAGGCAACGCGAAGAACCUUACCCAGACUUGACAUCCCAGGACCGCCUAUGAAAGUAGGUUUUCCCUUCGGGGACCUGGAGACAGGUGUUGCAUGGCUGUCGUCAGCUCGUGUCGUGAGAUGUUGGGUUAAGUCCCGCAACGAGCGCAACCCUUGUCCUUAGUUACCAGCGGGUUAUGCCGGGCACUCUGAGGAGACUGCCGAUGAUAAGUCGGAGGAAGGUGGGGACGACGUCAAGUCAUCACGGCCCUUACGUCUGGGGCUACACACGUGCUACAAUGGUCGGUACAGAGGGACGCAAGAUCGCGAGAUGGAGCCAAUCCCAAAAAGCCGGCCUCAGUUCGGAUUGCAGUCUGCAACUCGACUGCAUGAAGUCGGAAUCGCUAGUAAUCGUGGGUCAGCUACACCACGGUGAAUACGUUCCCGGGCCUUGCACACACCGCCCGU
rnacentral:rRNA from 1 species